GAUGAACGCUGGCGGCGUGCUUAACACAAGCAAGUCGAACGAAGCACCUUGAUUCGAUUCUUCGGAUGAAGAUCUUGGUGACUGAGUGGCGGACGGGUGAGUAACGCGUGGGUAACCUGCCUCAUACGGGGGGAUAACAGUUAGAAAUGACUGCUAAUACCGCAUAAGACCACAGCACCGCGUGGUGCAGGGGUAAAAACUCCGGUGGUAUGAGAUGGACCCGCGUCUGAUUAGGUAGUUGGUGGGGUAACGGCCUACCAAGCCGACGAUCAGUAGCCGACCUGAGAGGGUGACUGGCCACAUUGGGACUGAGACACGGCCCAAACUCCUACGGGAGGCAGCAGUGGGGAAUAUUGCACAAUGGGGGAAACCCUGAUGCAGCGACGCCGCGUGAGCGAUGAAGUAUUUCGGUAUGUAAAGCUCUAUCAGCAGGGAAGAAAAUGACGGUACCUGACUAAGAAGCACCGGCUAAAUACGUGCCAGCAGCCGCGGUAAUACGUAUGGUGCAAGCGUUAUCCGGAUUUACUGGGUGUAAAGGGAGCGCAGACGGAGUGGCAAGUCUGAUGUGAAAACCCGGGGCUCAACCCCGGGACUGCAUUGGAAACUGUCAAUCUAGAGUACCGGAGAGGUAAGCGGAAUUCCUAGUGUAGCGGUGAAAUGCGUAGAUAUUAGGAGGAACACCAGUGGCGAAGGCGGCUUACUGGACGGUAACUGACGUUGAGGCUCGAAAGCGUGGGGAGCAAACAGGAUUAGAUACCCUGGUAGUCCACGCCGUAAACG
rnacentral:rRNA from 1 species